rnacentral:rRNA from 1 species
UGAGUAACCUGCCCUUAACUCCGGGAUAAGCCUGGGAAACUGGGUCUAAUACCGGAUAUGACUCCUCAUCGCAUGGUGGGGGGUGGAAAGCUUUUUGUGGUUUUGGAUGGACUCGCGGCCUAUCAGCUUGUUGGUGAGGUAAUAGCUCACCAAGGCGACGACGGGUAGCCGGCCUGAGAGGGUGACCGGCCACACUGGGACUGAGACACGGCCCAGACUCCUACGGGAGGCAG